rnacentral:rRNA from 1 species
UACGUAGGCAGCGAGCGUUGUUCGGAGUUACUGGGCGUAAAGGGUGUGUAGGCGGUUCUCUAAGUUUGGUGUGAAAUCUCCCGGCUCAACCGGGAGGGUGCGCCGAAAACUGGAGGGCUAGAGUGCGGGAAGGGAGAGUAGAAUUCCUGGUGUAGCGGUGAAAUGCGUAGAUAUCAGGAGGAAUACCGGUGGUGUAGACGGCUCUCUGGACCGCGACUGACGCUGAGGCACGAAAGCGUGGGGAGCAAACAGG